rnacentral:rRNA from 1 species
ACGAACGCUGGCGGCAUGCCUAACACAUGCAAGUCGAAGGAGACCUUCGGGUCUAGUGGCGCACGGGUGCGUAACGCGUGGGAACCUGCCCUUAGGUUCGGAAUAACUCCCCGAAAGGGGUGCUAAUACCGGAUAAUGUCUUCGGACCAAAGAUUUAUCGCCUUUGGAUGGGCCCGCGUUGGAUUAGCUAGUUGGUAGGGUAAAAGCCUACCAAGGCGACGAUCCAUAGCUGGUCUGAGAGGAUGAUCAGCCACACUGGGACUGAGACACGGCCCAGACUCCUACGGGAGGCAGCAGUGGGGAAUAUUGGACAAUGGGCGAAAGCCUGAUCCAGCAAUGCCGCGUGAGUGAUGAAGGCCUUAGGGUUGUAAAGCUCUUUUACCCGGGAUGAUAAUGACAGUACCGGGAGAAUAAGCUCCGGCUAACUCCGUG